rnacentral:rRNA from 1 species
GAAUAAAAGUCGUAACAAGGUUUCCGUAGGUGAACCUGCGGAAGGAUCAUUACCGAAUUGUCAACACGAGUUGUUGCUGGUCCUCAAAACGGGGGCAUGUGCACGCUCUGUUCACACAUCCACUCACACCUGUGCACCCUCUGUAGUUCCGUGGCAUGGGGGACUCUGUCCUCCUGUUGUGGUCCUACGUCUUUACACACACUCUGUAACAAAGUCUCAUGGAAUGCAUGACGCGUUUAACGCAAUACAAUACAACUUUCAGCAACGGAUCUCUUGGCUCUCGCAUCGAUGAAGAACGCAGCGAAAUGCGAUAAGUAAUGUGAAUUGCAGAAUUCAGUGAAUCAUCGAAUCUUUGAACGCACCUUGCGCCCUUUGGCUAUUCCGAAGGGCAUGCCUGUUUGAGUAUCGUGAACACCUCAACUCUCAUGGUUUGCCGUGAUGAGCUUGGACUUUGGGGGUCUUGCUGGCCUUUGGUCGGCUCCUCUCAAACGGAUCAGCUUUCCAGUGUUUGGUGGCGUCAUGGGUGUGAUAACUAUCUACGCCUGUGGUUUUCUGCCAGAUAACCUUCAGUGAUGGAGGUUCGCUGGGGCUCAUAAAUGUCUCUCUUCAGUGGAGACAGCUUUUGGACGUUUGAUCUCAAAUCAGGUAGGACUACCCGCUG